rnacentral:rRNA from 1 species
UACGAAGGGGGCUAGCGUUGCUCGGAAUCACUGGGCGUAAAGCGCACGUAGGCGGAUUGCUAAGUCAGGGGUGAAAUCCUGGAGCUCAACUCCAGAACUGCCUUUGAUACUGGCGAUCUCGAGUCCCGGGAGAGGUGAGUGGAACUGCGAGUGUAGAGGUGAAAUUCGUAGAUAUUCGCAAGAACACCAGUGGCGAAGGCGGCUCACUGGCCCGGUACUGACGCUGAGGUGGCGAAAAGCG